ACGUCCAGACUAUGGUAAGAGACAGGGAGGAAGGAUACGUCCAGACUAUGGUAAGAGACAGGGAGGGGAGGAAGGAUACGUCCCAGACUAUGGUAAGAGACAGGAGGAAGGAUACGUCUAGACUAGGGUAAGAGACAGGGAGGGAAGGAAGGAUACGUCCCAGACAUGGUAAGAGACGGAAGGGGAGGAAGGAUACGUCCCAGACUAUGGGGAGAGACGGGAGGAAGGAUACGUCCCAGACUAUGGUAAGAGACAGGGAGGGGAGGAAGGAUACGUCCCAGACUAUGGUAAGAGACAGGGAAGGGAGGAAGGAUACGUCCCAGACUAUGGUAAGAGAACAGGGAGGAAGGAUAUGUCCCAGACUAUGGUAAGAGACAGGGAGGAAGGAUAGUCCCAGACUAUGGUAAGAGACAGGGAGGAAGGAUCGUCCUAGACUAUGGUAAGAGACAGGGAGGAAGGAUACGUCCCAGACUAUGGUAAGAGACAGGGAGGAAGGAUACGUCCCAGACUAUGGUAGAGACAGGGGGAAGGAGACGUCCUAGACUAUGGUAAGAGACAGGGAGGAAGGAUACGUCCCAGACUAUGGUAAGAGACAGGGAGGAAGGAUAAAUCCCAGACAUGGUAAGAGACAGGGAGGAAGGAUAUGUCCCAGACUAGGUAAGAGACAGGGAGGAAGGAUACGUCCCAGACUAUGUGGAGCUCUCCAGCCUGUCUCUGUGUAUGACCAACUCUAAGCAGGGAGAGCCUUGUUUCUAUGUCAUCGGCAGAACAGAGAAUACGCGACCAUGAUCCCAGAGCAGUCUCCCCCUCCUCCUAUCUCUACCCAGAGGAGCCGGGUGUGGCUGCAGUAGAUAAAACACGCUCUCUGCCAACGAAGAGCGGAAGGGUGGAUAGAGGAGGAGGACAGAGGGAGAGGGAGAAGAGGAGGCAGAGGAAGGGAGGUAGUCUGGGGGAAAGGAGUAGCAGAGGAGGAGGAGGAGGACGAGGUACUCCUGACACAGACCUGGAUUGUCCCGAGGAGGAGGAGGACAAGGAGGAGGAGAGUCAGGUCAUCAGCCACAGAGGUCAGAAGUCAGAGGAUAAGGACAAUGGAAAAUGUACCCAGAGUUUUCCCAAGAACGUACUAAGGAACUCAGACAGACAGGAGGAGGUAGUGGAGACAGUGCCGGAGGUGAGGCACAGCAGGGUCAAACAGAGGUCAAAACAGUUGAGGAGCAGGACAACACAAAGUGAGAGGAGAGAGGAAAUAGAGGAGCUGGACAUACACAUACCUCACUCAGCCAGUAAAACACAGGAGAAGGUGGGAGGGAGGGAAAGUGGGAGGAGGAAGAGGGAUGGACAAAGGGAGAAAGAGAGGGAGAGGAAGGCUGAGAUGAAGGUAAAGACAAGGGCUGCCGGACUUGUGGUGGAGGAUUCUGGGCCGGAAAAAAGGGACAGACCCCCAGAGAAAGAGAGAGAGCGAGCUCCCUUCUCCUUCCUCAUGCCACUGCAGGAUGGAGACGCUGAACUGUCUAAUGCAGAGUCAGGGGCCUCAGGAGCCUCCGGGGCCAGCUUCUCUGACCAGGUCAGUGUGUCUGCUGCCAGUGUCUCUGGAUCCACCGCCGGGGCCCCACCUGGGUGGGGAGAACCCAGAGAACUGAGAGGGGACCCAGGAAGCACCCAGUCAUGGUGUCGGGCCACCCAUCCAUCCCACAACCCGGGCCCCUGGAGAAGUACACAGUCACGGGGGCCCACCUACGCCGGCCCCGGCCCCUGGAUUAAACCCAGCCAGCAGAAACUGACUCAGGUGUUGGUGGGACACAGGCUGAGAGGAGGUCUUGACCUGUAGAUGAGAGGAAGAGAUGGACAACUGACUGUUCCUGUGGUGCUGAUUAACAGAAGGAGUGUCGUGGUCUUUCUGAUAACUUCCCCAAAAGCAGAAAUUCUGGUUGGAGGAUUCCCAGAUUUCCUGCUUAUUCCCUCAUAAUUCCAGGGAUCCUCCAAACAGAAUUUUUGGGCAAGUUACCAGAAUUUUGCAACCCUAGGUUUGACUGGCAGGUCCUCCAACCUAUCGUGGUCCUGACUGGUUUGACUGGCAGCUCCUCCAACCUAUCGUGGUCCUGACUGGUUUGACUGGCAGCUCCUCCAACCUAU
rnacentral:lncRNA from 1 species